AGAAUCAACGCUGGCGGCGUGCCUAACACAUGCAAGUCGAACGAGAAAGUGGGAGCAAUCCCAUUAGUAAAGUGGCGCACGGGUGAGUAACACGUGACUAACCUACCCUUGAGUGGGGGAUAACCUAGGGAAACCUGGGCUAAUACCGCAUAAUACCUACGGGUCAAAGGAGCAAUUCGCUUUAGGAGGGGGUCGCGGCCGAUUAGUUAGUUGGCGGGGUAAUGGCCCACCAAGACGAUGAUCGGUAU
rnacentral:rRNA from 1 species